UACGUAGGCAGCGAGCGUUGUUCGGAGUUACUGGGCGUAAAGGGUGUGUAGGCGGUUUUCUAAGUUUGGUGUGAAAUCUCCCGGCUCAACCGGGAGGGUGCGCCGAAAACUGGGAGACUAGAGUGCGGGAUGGGAGAGUAGAAUUCCUGGUGUAGCAGUGAAAUGCGUAGAUAUCAGGAGGAAUACCGGUGGUGCAGACGGCUCUCUGGACCGCAACUGACGCUGAGACACGAAAGCGUGGGUAGCAAACAGG
rnacentral:rRNA from 1 species